UCAGCCUCCCAAAGUGCUGGGAUUACCAGCGUGAGCCACCGCGCCCGACCAGGAGCAGGUCCUUAUUGAUAUAAGACAAUCAUGCUGUGCUCCUUCUCCUUGCCAGCCAUUGGUUGACACUCAGUCCGUUUGAGCUGCAUUUGUCUCACGCAACCUGAAACUUGCCACCGCUGCAAUCAUCACGUCCCACAUCCUGCCAUCCAGGAGGUUUCCCAGAGCCCCACUCAGCACGUCGCUGUCCCAUCGGUGUGCAUGGGGCACAGGCCGGAAUGGUUGGUCUGAGGCAGGGUCGCUGUUUCCUCAAAGCCCCGCCCUCUGCGCCCCAGUCACAGCAGCUGGCACACGGAGGAGGUGUGUGAAUCUGGGAAGAUGGGUGAAGAACGUCAUAGGAGGCGACCACAAGGUUCUCCACAUAGGCUUGCCAUAUUUAGUAAAUUAAAAUACACGAUGCAUUUAA